CGCAACUGUCGGAGCUUCUGCUGCCAUCAGAGCUACUAUUGAACUAUUGAUUUGGUUCCAAUUCCUCCAUUUUUGAGACCGUGAGAUUUAAUCCUUGCUCUGCUUCUAUCCUAUUCCUAUGUCUUUCACCUGUUCUAACUAAGGAAACCUAUGUUUUUGUUCAGUGUUGCUACUCUAUUUUCCCUGUUUACUGUUAGAACUAUCAUAGGGGAUACUGUUAAUGCCAUCAGGAAACUGUUAGAGCUGCUGUUGUUGCUGAUGCGAGUUAGAACGAAAUUGGAGUCACGUUUAAUUUUGUGGGUUUCGACUAACUGAGUGCCACAGGUUUG